rnacentral:lncRNA from 1 species
GCUUUUAUAAGGGACUUCCUCCUUCACUCAGCUGUCAUUCUUCUCUCUCCUGCUGCUUUGUGAACAAGUAUAUGUUUGCUUCCCCUUCUGCCAUGAUUGUAAUUUUCCUGAGGCCUCCCAUUCCUGUGGAACUAGACCUCUCAACAAGGAUUAACCCAAUAUCUCCCAUUUUCAAGUUUACAUGGUAUCAAAAGGAAUAAGACAGAUACAUAAACAAAUGGAGACAAAUUUUGGACAACACAAUGGGGAGUGCACUCAGGCAACUCAAAACCAACUCAAAAUCUGAUUUCAACCAAAAUGCAAAGCAGGUGGUAUUGCUUCCCUUGGUGGUACUGGACAAAUGGCUUAGCCUAGACAGGAAAACAAUAGGCUCCCUACAUAUGCUCGAUUACCUCAUCCUUUGACCAAAUCUGCUCCUGAUCUCUGUUCUUUCCCAGUAGUGAAAGGGACGUGCAAUUUUGUGCACAGAACACCCCUUGGGAGAGUCCCUGGGGAAAAUCUCACUGGCAGCUGCUGGGAUCCUCCUGAAGACUAUCUCAUUACAAGCCACUGGCCACUGAACACAGCACUGUCCCAGUCUCUUCUGGCUGCCAUGCCAAAUUUUGUUCCCAGACCAAACUGAGGGUUGGGCUGCUAUUUCUUGUGGCCCAAUAACGAGAUGCAGAUGAACUGGGGAGGAAGAGAGUUUUUAUUUCUGCAACCGGUUACACAGAGAAGGCCUGGAAAUUAUCGCCAGACCAACUCAAAAUUACAAAAUUUUCCAGAGCUUACAUACCUUCUAAGCUAUACGUCUACAUGUAAGUGUGCAUUCAUCUAGAGACAUAAGUUAUUAACUUCUUUUAAUCAAUAACUAAGGUCUUCAAAUCUGAGUCCUAAAGAACUUCUGCUGGAGCCUCAGUAAAUUUACUUAAUCUAAAUAGGUACCGGUGCUGGGGUGAUCACCCUUAUCUUGUCUCCUGCUAAAACACAAAGGUUUGGGGAGUUCCUUCAGACUCCCAAUAAACUUGUUUGUGGAGGCCUGGGGAGUUUCUUCAGACCCACAAUAAAACUUGUUUAAUCCUAAACGGGUCCUGUAAAGAAUUCCUUCAUUAUUUUGUCAUGCUUUACGCCCCAGAAAAGGCCUAGGCAAAACUCUUGGUUGGCUUUUGUUACAGCCCAGCCUUUGUAUAGGGGCACUGGCUUUUAAUGUUUAACUUAACCACUCAGUCAGCACUGAAACAAUUGUUAUGGAGGCCUGCAUUAGUGAGAUCUGGCCUGCCACAAUACCCCACCAAAAGUGACUUCAAAAAUUACUACUGAAAUAAAGACAAAAAGAACUGAAAGAGAUCCUAAACGGCAUUCAAUAAUAUUGUUGCUAGUGGUAACGUUUCAUUUGACAUUUUGAAACCAGUAAAUGUAUAUUGUGGAAAUAAAGUAAAUAAGAAAUGUUUUCAUGUCAUUAGGAACAAGUUCAAAAUACUGAUACAAAUUCAAAAUUUAUUUCUUUCCAAAAUCAUACAAUUAUCCAGCUCUAUUUUCCCAAAAGGUUGAGAAGCAAAGACAACCCAGUAGCAAUAAAUAUCCCUAAUACUCUAAGAGUGAUCUUCAAAUAUGCAAUUCCACUAAAACACAACUUCAGGAAAAUGUGUGAUUCUAAGAAUGAGCAAGAAAUGAACAAGAAGACCAUGAGAAAGUAAUAAGAUGGUCGAAUGCAGUCAUGCAAAAAGACACAGCAGAAUCCCAUUUUCUGAUCCAACAUUAAAAAAAGCUUGGAAGUCAUCACCCUCAUCCUCUCAGCAAGGAAAAAGCUGAACAAACUGAAAAUCAACACCUUUCUUUAGAUACAGCAAAGAAUUAAAGUCACAGGGCAAACCACUGACCUGAAAACUGGAGAGACAAGCAGAGACUGAGAAUCACAGCUUAUGAAGAACGGAAGUUCAGAGGCAAAAGCCCACUACUAUGGCUGCAGUGUUGAAAAGACAUAAAUUAUUAUUAAAAAAUUACUGAUGGCUCAACGUGGACAACUCUGACAGUUAAAAACCCUGGUGGGGAUGAGUUUCAGGGGGCCUCAAAUUUUUGAGAGAUUUACCUCCGGCAGCCCUACCAGGUUUUGUAAAAAAACUACAGAAAAAUCCCCUGUGAUUUCAUCUGGAGGGCAAAAAAGUCGCCAUUUAAAAAUAAGCCUGAGCUCUCAGUUCUGUCAACAAAGUACUGCCCUCCAAAGAAACUAAUUUACCAGCGCCUAACUGAUCCAGGGAAAUGGAAAUAUUCAAAUUAAACCACCUCUAUUCCUUGAUGUGCGUGAAGAAAAAUACCUGACAUCAGGCACCAGGAUUUAUUGUCUCACCUAGAGACAGUAAAACCAGAGAAGCACUUGUAAAAGUCAUAGCCCGGGGCACAAGCUCACUGAGAGACUGAAACCUAUCAUUUUAAUUGCAUGUGAAUGCAUGCAAACAUGUACAUACUCAUAUUUGGCAAUAAAGUUGUUCUACUGUUAUCAGUUAUAUCAAGACACU